CCUACGGGGGGCAGCAGUGGGGAAUAUUGCGCAAUGGGCGAAAGCCUGACGCAGCGACGCCGCGUGAGUGAUGAAGGUCUUCGGAUCGUAAACCUCUGUCAGCAGGGAAGAACGGUCACUGUGCUAAUCAGCAGUGAAUUGACGGUACCUGCAAAGGAAGCACCGGCUAACUCCGUGCCAGCAGCCGCGGUAAUACGUAGGGUGCGAGCGUUAAUCGGAAUUACUGGGCGUAAAGCGCUCGUAGGCGGUAUGUCAAGUCAAGGGUGAAAUCCCCGCGCUUAACGUGGGAACUGCCUUUGAAACUGGCAAACUGGAGUGUGUGAGAGGAUAGUGGAAGUCCAGGUGUAGGAGUGAAAUGCGUAGAUAUCUGUAGGAACACCAGUGGCGAAGGCGACUAUCUGGCACAUAACUGACGCUGAGGAGCGAAAGCGUGGGUAGCAAACAGGAUUAGAUACCCGGGUAGUC
rnacentral:rRNA from 1 species